GAGACACCCUUAUGGGGCUAGAUUUGCUUCAGUGGGGCUUUGGUGCUCACUGAGUCUGCCCCCUGAGUGUGUCCCU
rfam:Myotis davidii contig190395, whole genome shotgun sequence.